rfam:Galdieria sulphuraria unplaced genomic scaffold scaf_35, whole genome shotgun sequence.
GGGGGUGUGUUGGAAUGGUAGACAUAACAGACUUAAAAUCUGUUGAUUUUCAUAAAUCGUGAGGGUUCAAGUCCCUCCACCCCUA